rnacentral:lncRNA from 10 species
AGAAGGCCAGCUGGCUUCACGUCUUAUUAACAUCCUGAACUCCAGGGUUGGUACCCACAGGGUAGUAAGUUGACCACCAGACCACUUUAUACAGCAUCCAAACUGGCAUGGAGAACUCAGACUCCAUUCAGAUGGAUAUCAAUUCCAUCUGGAUCUAAUUAAAUGCAAAGGACCCAGCAUCACAAAUACAGGUGGCAGGCAGAAGAGGAGGACAGCAGGUGAAGUCAGAGAGAUUCAAAGCACAAGGAUUCAACUUUCUGUUGCUGGCCUUGAAGAUGCAGGAGGCCAUGAGCCAAGGAAUGCAAGCAGCCUCUGGAAGUUGAAAACGACCUAAGUGCUCAGUCCUACAGCUGCAUGGAACUGAAAUCUGCCAACACCCUGAGUGAUCCGGAAGUGGAUUUUCUCCCAAAGCCUCCUGAUAGGAGCCCCAGCCAGCUGACAGAUUGACUUCAGCACUAUGACAUCAAAGAGCCCACCCAAGGCUGUUACUGGAAGGAGGGCCUUGAGUAGACGGGGUUUCACCAUAUUGGCCAGGAUGGUCCUGAAAUCUUGACCUCGUGAUCUGCCCGCCUCAGCCUCCCAAAGUGCUGAGAUUACAGCUCCUGGCAGGUCUUUUUGGAAAGUCACCAUGAC